AGUUCAUGCGAGAUCUGAUUGUUUAAAAGAGUGCAGCACUUCCUCCACCUUGCUCCCUCUCUUGCCACUGAUGUGCCUGCUUCCCCUUCACCUUCUGCCUGGAUUGUAAGCUCCCUGAGAACCUCACCAGAAGCAGAUGCCAGCACCACGCUUCCUAUACAGCCUGCCAAAAUGUGAGCCAAUUAAACCUCUUUUCUUUAUAAAUUACCCAGUCUUGGGUCCUUUAAAGCAACGCACAAAUUAACUAACACAAUUGCCUUUACUUAUUCUCCCGUAAGUGGUCUUCAUUUAUUUUCACACUUCCAUUCAGUUUCUUUUUGCAAUCAUAGGUCUGUUUAACUCAUGAAAUCUCUUUAAGUCUUCUUUCUAAAAUACAAAGUCUUAGGCCGGUUGCGGUGGCUCACGCCUGUAAUCCCAGCACUUUGGGAGGCUGAGGCAGGUGGGUCAUGAGGUCAGGAGAUCAAGGACAUCCUGGCCAACAUGGUGAAACCCCAUCUCUACUAAAAAUACAGAAAAAAAAAAAAAACUUAGGUGUGGUGGCGGGCGCCUGUAGUCCCAGCUACUCAGGAGGCUGAGGCAGGUGAAUGGCGUGAACCCAGGAGGCGAAGCUUGCAGUGAGCUGAGAUCAUGCCACUGCACUCCAGUCUGGGCGACAGAGCGAGACUCUUGUCUCAAAAAAAAAAAAAAAUUUUAGGCACUAUCUUCCAGAUUUAUUCCAUUUAUACAUUUAGUCAAUUGCCUUCCAGGUAUUACCAUUGAUAAUAACCUUGAGCAGCAAGGUUUAGAUGUAGAAUAAAGCUCUAUAGCAUUCAAGACCUUCCUUCAAGGGAUACGGCCACUAGUCCAUGCCCCUUGACCGGGACAGUAACCAAGGCGUUGCUGCCCACCUUGCUGUACUGCUGACCAGGUCAUAUGUUUGUGGACAAACUUAGGGAGAUUUAUGAAAUCUUUGCCAUGGACAAUAAAUAAGCAGUAGUGCCUCUGGCAUUCCCCUGAUCUAGUGACCUAAACAACUCACUAAGAA
rnacentral:lncRNA from 1 species